rnacentral:lncRNA from 1 species
ACRCCAGGGCGGGGCGGGAAGCGCGGCCCGCCCACUCGCGCGGCGGCUGUUGGGCGGCUCGCGCGGCGGCCGUUACAGCCGUUGGGCGGCGGCGGCGCGCCUGCUCCGGUGGCUGCACGGCUGCGGGCACCUGGGGCGCGAGGCCUGGCCGGCCGGCGGGCAGGGACUGUGGGGAAGCGCGGAUGGAGCGGCGGUAAUAAUGGCGAGCAGCGCUCGGUCUGAUGGGAUCCCCCCUUUAAAAGCCUGCACGAGACUUGUCCACAGUUCUCAGAGGCCUCUGCCAGAGGACAGAAUAGCACUGAACGUUAUAAUAUGAAGGCUUCGAAUACGGUCACCGAGUCCAUUGAAACUCAGUACUUCCUUUUGAUGUCAACAGAUGUGCUAUCAGAAAAUGUGAUGUGUAACAGGUGUGCUAAGGAAAAGCUAGAGAAGUAAGUAUCUGUGAGAAGCUAAAAUGAGAGCCCCAAACUAACUGAAGUUUUAAGUAAUAAGAUUUUCUUUUGAUCACUGAGUUUAGACCAUACUUGAAGUGGUGUUUUGGAGGGACAGUGUUGCAUCUCACUUCACCACCCUGAGUUAUGCAUGCUUUCAGUUUUGUAAUGUCACCAGCAGAUGAGCAGGUAGGCUGCUCAUGAUAUGUAUG